AAAACAACGUAAAACACGAUUUGACUGUUUUUUUUUUGUUGUUGUUUGUUUUUUGCUUUUAUGUGUGUGUAGUGUUCUGAUAUCCAGAUAAUAGAUACCAUCGCACGAAAAGCGUGUUGGGAGGGGGGCGAGGAACCGAAAAAAAAAAGAAAAGAAAAG
rnacentral:ribozyme from 1 species